rnacentral:rRNA from 1 species
AUUGAACGCUGGCGGCAGGCCUAACACAUGCAAGUCGAGCGGAGCGACGGACGGGUGAGUGAUGCCUAGGAAUCUGCCUGGUAGUGGGGGAUGACGUCCGGAAAGGGGAGCUAACAUAGAAUACUAUCAGAUGAGCGUAGGUCGAAUUAGCUAGUUGGUGGGGUAAAGGCCUACCAAGGCGACGAUCCAUAACUGGUCUGAGAGGAUGAUCAGUCACACUGGAACUGAGACACGGUCCAGACUCCUACGGGAGGCAGCAGUGGGGAAUAUUGGACAAUGGGCGAAAGCCUGAUGCAGCCAUGCCGCGUGUGUGAAGAAGGUCUUCGGGUUGUAAAGCACUUUAAGUUGGGAGGCGUUACCAACAGAAUAAGCACCGGCUAACUCCGUGCCAGCAGCCGCGGUAAUUC